rnacentral:rRNA from 1 species
CAGUAGCCACGGUAAUACGGAGGGUGCAAGCGUUAAUCGGAAUUACUGGGCGUAAAGCGCACGCAGGCGGUCUGUCAAGUCGGAUGUGAAAUCCCCGGGCUCAACCUGGGAACUGCAUUCGAAACUGGCAGGCUAGAGUCUUGUAGAGGGGGGUAGAAUUCCAGGUGUAGCGGUGAAAUGCGUAGAGAUCUGGAGGAAUACCGGUGGCGAAGGCGGCCCCCUGGACAAAGACUGACGCUCAGGUGCGAAAGCGUGGGGAGCAAACAGGAUUAGAUACCCGCGUAGUCCCUGUCUCUUAUAA